AUUGAACGCUGGCGGCAGGCCUAACACAUGCAAGUCGAGCGGAUGAGUGGAGCUUGCUCCAUGAUUCAGCGGCGGACGGGUGAGUAAUGCCUAGGAAUCUGCCUGGUAGUGGGGGACAACGUUUCGAAAGGAACGCUAAUACCGCAUACGUCCUACGGGAGAAAGUGGGGGAUCUUCGGACCUCACGCUAUCAGAUGAGCCUAGGUCGGAUUAGCUAGUUGGUGAGGUAAAGGCUCACCAAGGCGACGAUCCGUAACUGGUCUGAGAGGAUGAUCAGUCACACUGGAACUGAGACACGGUCCAGACUCCUACGGGAGGCAGCAGUGGGGAAUAUUGGACAAUGGGCGAAAGCCUGAUCAAGCCAUGCCGCGUGUGUGAAGAAGGUCUUCGGAUUGUAAAGCACUUUAAGUUGGGAGGAAGGGCAGUAAGUUAAUACCUUGCUGUUUUGACGUUACCGACAGAAUAAGCACCGGCUAACUUCGUGCCAGCCGCCGCAGUAACAC
rnacentral:rRNA from 1 species